rnacentral:rRNA from 1 species
UACGGAGGAUGCGAGCGUUAUCCGGAUUUAUUGGGUUUAAAGGGUGCGUAGGCGGGCUUUUAAGUCAGCGGUAAAAAUACGGGGCUCAACCCCGUCCGGCCGUUGAAACUGGGGGUCUUGAGUGGGCGAGAAGAAGGCGGAAUGCGUGGUGUAGCGGUGAAAUGCAUAGAUAUCACGCAGAACCCCGAUUGCGAAGGCAGCCUUCCGGCGCCCUACUGACGCUGAGGCACGAAAGUGCGGGGAUCGAACAGG